rnacentral:rRNA from 1 species
AUUGAACGCUGGCGGCAUGCUUUACACAUGCAAGUCGAACGGUAACAGGCCUUCGGGUGCUGACGAGUGGCGAACGGGUGAGUAAUGCAUCGGAACGUACCCAGAGGUGGGGGAUAACGCAGCGAAAGCUGUGCUAAUACCGCAUGUGAUCUGAGGAUGAAAGCGGGGGACCGAGCAGCAAUGUUUGGCCUCGCGCCUUUGGAGCGGCCGAUGUCGGAUUAGCUAGUUGGUGGGGUAAAGGCCUACCAAGGCGACGAUCCGUAGCUGGUCUGAGAGGACGGCCAGCCAAACUGGGACUGAGACACGGCCCAGACUCCGACGGGAGGCAGCAGUGGGGAAUUUUGGACAAUGGGCGCAAGCCUGAUCCAGCAAUGCCGCGUGCGGGAAGAAGGCCUUCGGGUUGUAAACCGCUUUUGGCAGGAACGAAACGGUGUCCGCUAAUACCGGGCGCUAAUGACGGUACCUGCAGAAUAAGCACCGGCUAACUACGU